AAAAGCAUGGCAGAAGCAAUAAGUUUUCGCUCAAUGGUGCUAGAAUCGUUGCCAAGAUUGUGAGGUCUCAAGUAUAAAACCCAUUCAAAGCCCAAUAAAAUAAAAAUAAAAACAAAAAAAAGUCUAGAAGUUCUGAGACAUUUUAAGCUUCUGAAUGGAUUUUCCAAGACUUAAAUUGCACAUGGAUUUUGACCCCUCAAAAUAUCAUGCCUGAUGGCAUAAUUCACUAGAAGGACUUGAGACAUGCUUUAUUGUGCUUUACAAUGAAAUUAUAGUGUCUUUCAACAAGAUUUAGAAAUUUCAGCAAUUCUAGUUUGUGAAUAAGAUCAUUGCUAAACUUAAAUGAUUUGGCAUUUAUCAGCAUCAUCUAUAAUGCAUCUUGCUAUUAACUCAAAUUGUUUGUUACUGCUUGUACACCUGGUGCCUGCGUUGGUGACUUGCUGACCAUAUUUAGCAUGUAUUAAGCAUUGUUAACUUUUAAUAGUUGUGAGAGACUUGAUACUUAGAAUUCAU
rnacentral:misc_RNA from 1 species